rnacentral:rRNA from 1 species
UAACACGUAAACAACCUGCCUUCAGGAUGGGGACAACAGACGGAAACGACUGCUAAUACCGAAUACGCUUGGAGGACCGCAUGAUCUUCCAAGGAAAGGGUGGCCUCUACCUGUAAGCUAUCGCCUGAAGAGGGGUUUGCGUCUGAUUAGGCAGUUGGUGAGGUAACGGCCCACCAAACCUACGAUCAGUAGCCGGUCUGAGAGGAUGAACGGCCACACUGGAACUGAGACACGGCCCAA